rnacentral:rRNA from 1 species
AUUGAACGCUAGCGGGAUGCUUUACACAUGCAAGUCGAACGAGUGGCGGACGGGAGAGUAAUGUAUGGGGAUCUGCCCGAUAGAGGGGGAUCACGACUGGAAACGGAGCUAAUACCGCAUACUAUCGGAUGAAUCAAUAUCGGAUUAGCUAGUUGGUGGGGUAAAGGCCCACCAAGGCAACGGUCCGUAGCUGGUUUGAGAGGACGACCAGCCACACUGGGACUGAGACACGGCCCAGACUCCUACGGGAGGCAGCAGUGGGGAAUUUUGGACAAUGGGGGAAACCCUGAUCAAGCCAUCCCGCGUGUGUGAUGAAGGCCUUCGGGUUGUAAAGUACUUUUGGCAGAGAAGCGGUAUCUGCAGAAUAAGCACCGGCUAACUACGUGCCAGCCGCCGCGGUAAUUC